GGAUGCGAGCGUUAUCCGGAUUUAUUGGGUUUAAAGGGUGCGUAGGUGGCUUGGUAAGUCAGCGGUAAAAUUUCGGGGCUUAACCUCGUUUAGCCGUUGAAACUGUCGAGCUCGAGAGGGAGAGAAGUAGGCGGAAUGCGCAGUGUAGCGGUGAAAUGCAUAGAUAUUGCGCAGAACUCCGAUUGCGAAGGCAGCCUACCGGCUUCUAUCUGACACUGAGGCACGAAAGCGUGGGGAUCAAACAGGAUUAGAUACCCUGGUAGUCCACGCAGUAAACGAUGAAUGCUGGCUGUUUGGGUCGAUUGAGACCUGAGUGGCGAAGCGAAAGCGAUAAGCAUUCCACCUGGGGAGUACGCCGGCAACGGUGAAACUCAAAGGAAUUGACGGGGGCCCGCACAAGCGGUGGAGCAUGUGGUUUAAUUCGACGCAACGCGAAGAACCUUACCAGGUCUUGACAUCUAGUGCAAUCUGUAGAGAUACGGAGUUCCCUUCGGGGACGCUAAGACAGGUGGUGCAUGGCUGUCGUCAGCUCGUGUCGUGAGAUGUUGGGUUAAGUCCCGCAACGAGCGCAACCCUUAUUGUUAGUUGCCAUCAUUAAGUUGGGCACUCUAGCGAGACUGCCCGGGUUAACCGGGAGGAAGGUGGGGAUGACGUCAAAUCAUCAUGCCCCUUAUGUCUAGGGCUACACACGUGCUACAAUGGUCGGUACAAUAAGACGCAAGCCCGCGAGGGGGAGCAAAACUGGAAAACCGAUCUCAGUUCGGAUUGUAGGCUGAAACUCGCCUACAUGAAGCUG
rnacentral:rRNA from 1 species